GGCAUAUCUGGGCAUACUUUUAUUUUUUGGUGUUCAUCAUGCAAUAGUUUACUUUUUUUUGGCUGCAUCACGCAUUACGGAAUAAAGAAGGGGAUUUGAUUGGGCUGUCAAAAUGCAUAUUUUAAUGCGGCUGACGUAUAAAAUUCAUAAAAGAAAAGUGACUUUGGAAAAAAAUAUCAAUUUGGCUUGAUGGAUUUAAGGUUUUUUUUUUAUGUCCAAACCUAGAUGCUCCAAAUUAUGUUUUUUUCCAUUUGUAUGCACAUUGCUGGAAUGUUGAAAUAAAUAUGUAGAAAUUCCAGUUGUGGGAUUGUGAAAUUUCACAUUAUUUCAUGUUUUAUGGCCAGCAGAAAAUGUAUCCUGUUGUUCAACGUCGUUGGACCUCUGCUCGAUUCAAGUUCCGCUGAUACAUUACAAAGAGGGCAAAGACGGCAAAGGCCAGGAGAGUGACCAAAAGGCCAUAGUAUCCGGUGUUGAAAACAUCGCUGUAGAUCUCGGUCACAUCCCCGCCAUACACACUCUUCAGCUUGUCCAGUGUGUCCUCCAUUGUUCAAAAGAAUUUCGACAUUUUCUGAGCCCAAAAUUUGGUUGGAUUUUUCGAAAUGUAAAGAUGAUGUUUGGCCAACGGCCUCCUGGGAUGGCAAG
rnacentral:lncRNA from 1 species